UACGAACUGUGCAAACGUUAUUCGGAAUCACUGGGCUUACAGGGUGCGUAGGCGGUCUGUUAAGUAGGGUGUGAAAGCCCCCGGCUCAACCGGGGAAUUGCGCCCUAAACUGGCGGACUGGAGUGAGAUAGGGGUGUGCGGAACUUCCGGUGGAGCGGUGAAAUGUGUUGAUAUCAGAAGGAACGCCGGUGGCGAAAGCGGCACACUGGAUCUCAACUGACGCUGAGGCACGAAAGCCAGGGGAGCGAACGGG
rnacentral:rRNA from 1 species